GAUGAACGCUGGCGGCGCGCUUAACACAUGCAAGUCGAACGGAAAGGCCUGCUUUCCCUUGUGGAUUGCGGGUACUCGAGUGGCGAACGGGUGAGUAACACGUGAGUGAUCUGCCCCCAACUUGGGUAUAAGCCUGGGAAACUGGGUCUAAUUCCCGAUAGGACUGCAGGGUGGUGCCUGUGGUGGAAAACGAUUUUCUAGUGGUUGGGGAUGAGCUCGCGGCCUAUCAGCUUGUUGGUGGGGUAAUGGCCUACCAAGGCGGCGACGGGUAGCCGGCCUGAGAGGGUGGACGGCCACAUUGGGACUGAGAUACGGCCCAGACUCCUACGGGAGGCAGCAGUGGGGAAUAUUGCACAAUGGGCGGAAGCCUGAUGCAGCGACGCCGCGUGGGGGAUGACGGCCUUCGGGUUGUAAACUCCUUUCGACCGCGAGGAAGCCACCUGGUUGGAAGGGUGGUGACGGUAGUGGUAGAAGAAGCACCGGCUAACUACGUG
rnacentral:rRNA from 1 species